UGGGAUUCAACUGUCUUCUUAUUAAAAAAACAGAGUACAACGCAGAUACAAACAAGGUAGUUCCGGUACGGACUACAAAACAAGGAAAAUGCUAUGCUACCCGCUGCAGGCCCACGAUCACGACCACGGCUCAGUCCUCCGGAUAGUUCGCGUAAAGGCAAUCUGUCUCCUCGUCGUACUGCCACGCCAGCUGGGUGCC
rnacentral:lncRNA from 1 species